rnacentral:rRNA from 1 species
GAUGAACGCUAGCGAUAGGCUUAACACAUGCAAGUCGAGGGGCAGCAUGGUCUUAGCUUGCUAAGACUGAUGGCGACCGGCGCACGGGUGCGUAACGCGUAUGCAACUUGCCUCACAGAGGGGGAUAACCCGUCGAAAGACGGACUAAUACCGCGUACACUCCAUCUUGGGCAUCCAAGGUAGAGGAAAUGAAAUUCGCUGUGAGAUAGGCAUGCGUCCCAUUAGCUAGUUGGUGAGGUAACGGCUCACCAAGGCGACGAUGGGUAGGGGAACUGAGAGGUUGAACCCCCACACUGGUACUGGGACACGGACCAGACUCCUACGGGAGGCAGCAGUGAGGAAUAUUGGUCAAUGGGCGAGAGCCUGAACCAGCCAAGUCGCGUGAAGGAUGACUGUCUUAUGGAUUGUAAACUUCUUUUAUACGGGAAUAACAAGAGUCACGUGUGACUCCCUGCAUGUACCGUAUGAAUAAGCAUCGGCUAACUCCGUG